AUUGAACGCUGGCGGCAGGCCUAACACAUGCAAGUCGAGCGGAUGAAGGGAGCUUGCUCCUGGAUUCAGCGGCGGACGGGUGAGUAAUGCCUAGGAAUCUACCUGGUAGUGGGGGAUAACGUCCGGAAACGGGCGCUAAUACCGCAUACGUCCUGAGGGAGAAAGUGGGGGAUCUUCGGACCUCACGCUAUCAGAUGAGCCUAGGUCGGAUUAGCUAGUUGGUGGGGUAAAGGCCUACCAAGGCGACGAUCCGUAACUGGUCUGAGAGGAUGAUCAGUCACACUGGAACUGAGACACGGUCCAGACUCCUACGGGAGGCAGCAGUGGGGAAUAUUGGACAAUGGGGGAAAGCCUGAUCCAGCCAUGCCGCGUGUGUGAAGAAGGUCUUCGGAUUGUAAAGCACUUUAAGUUGGGAGGAAGGGCAGUAAGUUAAUACCUUGCUGUUUUGACGUUACCAACAGAAUAAGCACCGGCUAACUUCGUG
rnacentral:rRNA from 1 species